GCUAGAUAAGACUGAUCAUACGAGAUACACCUGUGCUUUGUCUGUGAAAUUUGGACACCCAGGCUGAGGGCUCCCAGAGAUAUGGAAAUAGGCAGUGUUGGGAAGUUCCAUGAUGAGCACGGUCAUGCGUAUGUACUCUAGAAUCCCAGGCAUAAGGGAUUACCGUGAACACACUGUAUCAACAUAGAAGCAUGAAACAUGGAACUUCCUCUUGAUUUCCUUGGCCAGAGAGAGUCGCUGCAGUUCAGACAGAACAGUUCUGGCCUACUAGCUCAGCAGAGAAGACAACAGAGCACAGGUAGAAGAAAAAACCUUACCGUUUUAAAAACUGAGCCAAGGAAAUUGUCUCACACAUGCACAUUGAAAUCUUUACUGAUGCUUAAAGCUUAGUUCACUGGUACAAUGCUGACGUGGCUGGGUGGAGUCUUUGACAUCUCAUUAUCUCGACAUAAUGUCACAUUACUCUGAUGCACAUUCUGUUGUUAAAAUGUUAAAAUAACUCUUCAUUAUGUGAGAUACUACUGGUAUAUUUAAACAUCAUAGAGUCACAAAAC
rnacentral:lncRNA from 1 species